UACGGAGGGGGCUAGCGUUGUUCGGAAUUACUGGGCGUAAAGGGCGCGUAGGCGGCCAAGUAAGUUGGGGGUGAAAGCCCGUGGCUCAACCACGGAAUUGCCUUCGAUACUGCUUGGCUUGAGACCGGAAGAGGUGAGUGGAACUGCGAGUGUAGAGGUGAAAUUCGUAGAUAUUCGCAAGAACACCAGUGGCGAAGGCGGCUUACUGGUCCGGUUCUGACGCUGAGGCACGAAAGCGUGGGGAGCAAACAGG
rnacentral:rRNA from 1 species